ensembl:lncRNA
ACGGAGCCACUCUUGAGAAAUAUUUUCCAAGCUUUCUCCUCCACUUCCUGCACUGCAAGCAUUUAUACUAAAAGCGACCAGGAGAAAAGACUGAUAUAGUGCAGAGCAGGAGGACCCACGGGAGUGAUCUUAGUCAACUGAUGGAGGAGGCGUGCAGUGAAAGUGGCACACUCAGAGCGAUUCCCAAGGGACACCUUGCUACAACGAACACCCUGCUUCCAGCAACGACCUGGGAUGGACACACACGGGGCAGCUUGGAAAACUGAGGCCACAGACCGGUGCCUGAUAAAACGGUGAAGCAGACGACCAGAGGAAGGCUGGGGCAGAUCCGAUCCUCGCAGUUCUUGGCAGAGAGCUUGGCCGACACUCCGCAGAAAGGCAGGGUGGAGGGGUGGUGGGCUUUCGUCCUGCAAAUGCAUGCCAUGUCAGUCUGAGAACGGAGCCUGCUAUCAUACAUGCCUUUAACCCAGGAGCCUGUUUCGCACAUGCGUGGGAAGACUUGGGGGACGUAGGCCAGCGGGGCUACAGCCGGAGGUCAGGGAGCAGGGACUGAAGACCUCAGCAGAUUCUCCAAGCCUCACUAGGGCCAUUCUGGAGGCGCUCCCACCAGCUGGUUCUGUCUUCCACAGCGCUGUGGCUCCAGGAAGCUCGAGAAUAACACUGAGUCUGUGUGGCUUCCACCCUGCUGCAGGAAGGAUGGCUCUCCUCACUCCCGUGCUGCUCCUGCUCCCCCAGCCCCUGGAGCGGCCGCUCACCUGCUAAGUGCACUUGGACUCACUGCAGCAUUGCGGUGAAACCACCAGCCACGCGGUGGGAUAGAUGCUUUUGGAGGAGAUCAAGCAGUCACUUGAAAACGAGACAAAGGUUUUUCUCUCAGGCGAGGGUUCUGUUCAGGGGAAAUCUCACUGUGAGUCGGAUCCAUUGUGUGGCUGAGAGCAGGUGCUUCAGAGGGUGGUGGGGGCGGCCAUCAGCUGACCACAGAGGAGGCCGUUUGAUGGCGCGUGGCGAUCAGAACAGGAGCAUGCUGGGGGUCGGGUGGGCCACAGCACCAUGGAGGGCAGCUGCUUCAUUUUACAGAUGGGGCAAUGACAUCAGUGCGUGAGGAUGUCUCUGACCACACAGUGGUUUGUAGCAGGGCUGGGCUGGGGUCCAGCGCCAGGCACCCACCCUGUGGUCCUAUCUGACAAGUGGAUAUCCUGAAGUCCCACCUGCUCCUCGUCAGUAGGCACGUCUUACUUUGUGGUUGGCUCAUUAGGGACAAUGGCAUGAACCAGCCACCCCAAGAUCCCUAUUUCAGUCUGUGGUUACGAUUUUCUGCUAAUUUUUGAAGAGUUGAUGAGACUAUCUUUUGCGUGUUUUUGUACAAACUUCUUUUAACUACUAAGCUGUCAUCCACCCAUUUAUUCAGCAAGUAUUUAUCGGAUGUUGCUGUGGGGCCUCAUGGGCCUGGGAUGCUGAGGUGGAUUAGACACAGUCCCUGCCAGAGGUCUUCAACUCCACUAGCCAUGGUCAUUGCCUCAUUGUCCUGAGACCCCUCCGGUGGGUCUGGGAGGUCACAGCUGAUUUCCUGGGGUUCAUUGUUGACCCUGGCCCUAUCUCAAGGCUGUGCAGGAGACAUCCAGGAGGAAGAAUGUCCGGAGCCCAGCGCCAUCCGUGAAAGAUUUGCAGACUGUCAAACACUUUCUGCACUAAUGUUUACAAAAAGAGUUCGAAUUCCUAAAGUAUGUUGAUUAUGGUUAACAAGGAUGGGGCUUAUUGCUAUUUUAAGAACUGUCUUGAUUUCUAACACAGUAAAUAUGGCAGGCAAAGGUCUAAGUUUGGUAAAUUAAGCUCACUGGCAUUCUCAGUGAUUUUUAUGAAUACAGAGGGAGCUCUAAGACUGAGAGUUUGGAGAGCUGCUGGGUGAGCUCAGGUCAAUCUCAGCCCCCAGGGGCUUUACUCUGCUGGGACGUCAGCCUUGCUCUCACCCGGGAGCCCCAGCUCUGCAGUCCCAGCUUCCUGUAGGAUCCCUUGUGGUUUACUGUCACUUCUCCCCAUCUUUGUAAGUGAAUCCCCAGGAAUUAUUUUUUUUUUUUAUUUGACAGAUAGAGUUAGACAGUGAGAGAGAGAGAGACAGAGAGAAAGGUCUUCCUUCUGUUGGUUCACCCCCCAAGUGGCCACUACAGCUGGAACUACCCAGAUCCGAAGCCAGGAAGCCAGGUGCUUCCUCCUGGUCUCCCACACGGGUGCAGGGGCCCAAGCACUUGGGCCAUCCUCCACUGCCCUCCAGGGCCAGAGCAGAGAGCUCCACUGGAAGAGGAGCAGCUGGGACUAGAACCCGGCACCUCAGGCAGAGGAUUAACCAAGCGAGCCACAGCGCCGGCCCCCCAGGAAUUAUUUUAACUUGUGGAUGCUAUCCUUCUCUGGUUGCUCCAUUCAGUUUGGUGUCGAGAGAAAUGUGCUGACUACAUCAUCAGAACUUGCUUACUUGCUUGACACAGUGAAAAUUGCAGCAAAUUAUAGGUAUGUGUCCUCCAAGGCUGGUUUGCCAGUCUUUUCUCAAUACGAAAAGGCUGAAUUUGUACUUAUUGACUUUUCAUAGGAUCUGCCAGCAUCAGGCCAGCUUGUGUUUUCUUAAGAAUGACUAUGAGAAGGAAAUAAAUGGCAGUACGUGCUCA